UUCCAGGGUAGGCAGUCAGGGCAAGUGCCUCAGCAAGAAGGGCUGGUGGGUGUCUCUCCAUUUCACUAGCUUUCCUGACCCAGGAAGAAGAGAACCCUUUGACAUCCAGCCAGAGGGCCAAAGGAAGACUCCCCCAAAGCUCAGAGUGGGGACUUCACCUCCACCUCCUGCAAAGUACACUGCUGGGUCCGUCCUGCUGCUGAUGCAUGGGUCCACUUCUGCCAAACAGGCCAGUGUGCGAAGGAAAGAGGCAAACAUCCAGCCUUCCCAUCGGGCAGAGAGGCAAAUCCUCUGCUUCUCCGGCUCUCCCUGCUUCUCAAUCCCUUCCACCCGUGGACUUUUGUUCCCGCUUGUGGACUUUUGUUCCCGCUUCUCCUGACUGCAAAGAGGUCAUUCUAGUAGAACUUUGAAUUUUAUUUUAUAAUUUUAUUUUAUUUUAUGUUUUUUGCUUUGUCAGUGGCUGUGGUGAAGUUGUGCUUGUGUUUUGUGAUUUCUUUGGCAGCGAUUUUUCAGUUGUUGCUUAUAAGGGAGGGCUGAGGGUGGGAGUGGGGAGGGCAGGGGGCCUAGAGCUCUAAUUGUUUGUUUUGGAAGAAAAAGAAAAAACAACAACAAAAAAAUAUAUAUCACUCUAGAAAA
rnacentral:lncRNA from 1 species